rnacentral:rRNA from 1 species
UACGGAGGGUGCAAGCGUUAUCCGGAUUCACUGGGUUUAAAGGGUGCGUAGGAGGGCAGGUAAGUCAGUGGUGAAAUCUCCGGGCUUAACUCGGAACUGCCGUUGAUACUAUCUGUCUUGAAUACCGUGGAGAUGAGCGGAAUAUGUCAUGUAGCGGUGAAAAUGCUUAGAUAUGACAUAGAACACCAAUUGCGAAGGCAGC